rnacentral:ncRNA from 1 species
CAAAGGCUUGGUCCUGACUUUAUUAUCAACUUUAGCUAAACUUACACAUGCAAGUAUCCGCACCCCUGUGAGAAUGCCCCACAGUUUCCUUCCCGGAAACAAGGAGCCGGUAUCAGGCACAAACUAUUAGCCCAUGACACCUUGCUUAGCCACACCCUCAAGGGAACUCAGCAGUGAUAGACAUUAAGCCAUAAGUGAAAACUUGACUUAGUUAAAGCUAAAAGGGCCGGUAAAACUCGUGCCAGCCACCGCGGUUAUACGAGAGGCCCGAGUUGAUAAACAACGGCGUAAAGAGUGGUUAAGAGAUUAAAUGACACUAAGGCCGAACACUUUCAAGGCUGUUAUACGCAUCCGAAAGUAAGAAGUCCCAUUACGAAAGUAGCCUUACUUAUCUGAACCCACGAAAGCUAGGGUACAAACUGGGAUUAGAUACCCCACUAUGCCUAGCCCUAAACAUUGAUAGUCCACCACAUUUACUAUCCGCCCGGGGACUACGAGCAGUAGCUUAAAACCCAAAGGACUUGGCGGUGCUUAAGAUCCACCUAGAGGAGCCUGUUCUAGAACCGAUAACCCCCGUUCAACCUCACCCUCUCUUGUUUUCCCCGCCUAUAUACCGCCGUCGUCAGCUUACCCUGUGAAGGAUUAAUAGUAAGCAAAAUUGGCAUAGCCUAAAACGUCAGGUCGAGGUGUAGCGUAUGAGGGGGGAAGAAAUGGGCUACAUUUCCUAAAGUAGGAAACACGGAUACUGCACUGAAACGUGCAUUUGAAGGAGGAUUUAGCAGUAAGCAGAAAAUAGAGCGUCCUGCUGAAACUGGCCCUAAAGCGCGCACACACCGCCCGUCACUCUCCCCAAGCUUUAACCUUUACAUAAUUAAUAAACUAUAACUGCAAAGGGGAGGCAAGUCGUAACAUGGUAAGUGUACCGGAAGGUGCACUUGGAAAAAU